rnacentral:lncRNA from 1 species
GCGGUUUUGAUUUGAAAUUGCCAUGAUGGCAAUGAUGACUGACGUGGGUAGAAAGAGAGAGUCGCGGGCAGGUCAUGUCAGUUGCUUUUUCAAAACUGACAUGACACGUCCGUCAAUUUUGAAAACUGGUGGUUGUGCUUAUUCGCUGAUAUCACCUAGCCCAUGCGCCAUUUUUUCUGCACAGUCGCCUUUUCUCUUUUUUUUUUCUCUUGACUUCCUAUCAUGCCCUGCACACCAAAAACAAAAACCUUCUUCACGUACCAAAAUAAAAUAAAAGAAAACAGACACGAAAAAAAUGAAAAAUAAAAUAAAGCAAUAAAAUACCAGGUUGCCUCCUGGCCUGCGCUCCAGUUAUCGUCGUGAGCACAACGUCUUGCCUUUCUUAGUUUCUUCUUGGUCUUAAAUUCUUCAGAGCUUCUGGAUCAUCCUCCAUCUCUUGCCCAUAGUAGGCCUUCAAACGUUGACCAUUCACCUUAAAAAUGCCCCCGAAUUUGAAAUCCUUGAUCUCCACUGCUCCAUUUGGAUAUUGGGCUUGCACUUCAUAAAGUCCAAUCCAUUUGCUUGAAAGCUUUCCGGACAUGAGUUUGAACCUU